CCUACGGGAGGCAGCAGUGGGGAAUAUUGCACAAUGGGGGAAACCCUGAUGCAGCGACGCCGCGUGAGUGAAGAAGUAUUUCGGUACGUAAAGCUCUAUCAGCAGGGAAGAAAAUGACGGUACCUGACUAAGAAGCCCCGGCUAACUACGUGCCAGCAGCCGCGGUAAUACGUAGGGGGCAAGCGUUAUCCGGAUUUACUGGGUGUAAAGGGAGCGUAGACGGCAGCGCAAGUCUGGAGUGAAAUCCCAUGGCUUAACAAUGGAACUGCUUUGGAAACUGUGCAGCUAGAGUGCAGGAGAGGUAAGCGGAAUUCCUAGUGUAGCGGUGAAAUGCGUAGAUAUUAGGAGGAACACCAGUGGCGAAGGCGGCUUACUGGACUGUAACUGACGUUGAGGCUCGAAAGCGUGGGGAGCAAACAGGAUUAGAUACCCCAGUAGUC
rnacentral:rRNA from 1 species